ACCCAGGAAAAGAAUUUUAGUCCAACCUAAAGUUAACCAAUAAGGAAUAUUACCACUUUAGAGUAAUUCAAAUAAGGGACAGCCUAUUUGAUACAGGGCACAACCUCGAACAAUGGCUAACUCAUAACAUAUUUAAACUAAGUUGACUUAAAAGCAGCCACCUUAGAAAAGCGUCAAAGCCUAAUUUUACUUAUAUUAAAUCCAACGAUUUUCAAAGAACCCUUCAUCCGUACUGAGUACUUCUAUACCCCCUAUAGAAAUUUUUAUGUUAAAACUAGUAACAAGAAGACACUUCUCUUUUAAUGCGAGCAUAAAUCAGAACGGACCACUCCACUGAUUCUUAUACACCACGACAGCAAACCCACACCCUCGAAAAGCCUGUCUUUAUUAACGUUAACCUAACACAAGAGCAUUACAAGAAAGAUUUUUUAAAAAAGAAGGAACUCGGCAAAUAUUGAUUCCGCCUGUUUACCAAAAACAUCGCCUCUUGAUUAACUAUAAGAGGUCCAACCUGCCCAGUGACAUCAAUUCAACGGCCGCGGUAUAUUGACCGUGCUAAGGUAGCACAAUCACUUGUCUCUUAAAUGGGGACUAGUAUGAAAGGACCCACGAGAAUCUAACUGUCUCCUUUUUUUAAUCCGUGAAACUAAUCUCCCCGUGAAAAAGCAGGGAUCAUUAUAUAAGACGAGAAGACCCUAUGGAGCUUCAGAUAAAGCAAUACUUUCUUUUUAUUUCACUUUCAGUAGACAUACUAUAAAAGCACUUUAUUGCCAAUCUUCGGUUGGGGCGACCGCGGAGUAAAAUAAAACCUCCACGCUGAAUGGAAAACCCCCCACAACAAAGAACUACAGUUCUAUAAACCAAAAAAUUGACAAUUGACCCAAUAUUUGAUCAACGAAACAAGUUACCCUAGGGAUAACAGCGCAAUCUACUUCAAGAGUUCAUAUUGACAAGUGGGUUUACGACCUCGAUGUUGGAUCAGGGUGUCCCAGUGGUGCAACCGCUACUAAAGGUUUGUGUGUUCAACAAUUAAAACCCU
rnacentral:rRNA from 2 species